UUGAGCUGCCUUCCCUGCUCUGUGAAAGAGGGGUUUGGAUUUGUUGGCUCCUCGAAACACAUUCCUGCUCUGUUGUUCUGCAAAAAGAAAAUUUGUAAAACUGGGAACAUGAGAAAGCCAGACAGACCUUUGCUCUCUUCCACGAAUGUGGAGUCAUAAAUGAAGAAGUGAAGCAUCUACCACCAGACGGUCCCACUGCUUCCAAGUGGCACACUACCUCCGAGUCAGCACGGUUUCACCCCUGGGAGUGGUUCCCCUGGGGUUCUGCCUGCAGGACAUCUGACCGCUCUCCCUGUGCCCCCGCGAUUUGAGGCGUCUGUCUUCAGCUCCGCACAGGUCCUCUUAGCCUAUUACUCAAUUAGAAAGGUAUGUGCUCCCUGGCUGGCAUUCUAGGAUUUGUGAUACUAGAAUUUAAGACUUUGAUGAUAAACAUUUGACUUCUGGUGUUUAUAAUUUAAACUACAAAAAUUGCCUCAGAAACAAUUGCAGCAUGUGGCUCUUAUAACACAGUAACUGUAUCUAUUACUCCUUAGGGGAAAACAGUUCUCUGCAGUUAUUUAAACUUGAGACACAACUUGCUUCAAAAAUGUAAACAAUAAAUUUUUUGGGUGCAAUCUUCAAGCAACUUAAUGAAAACUGGCAUUACUUUUACUGGCAAAGCAUGACAGCUCAAAUGGACACUGCUUGUUAUCCCAGGUCUGAUAUAACACCAACCAGAAACAUACAUGACACGAGGACAAGUUAACCUUAAAAACAUUACGAAAGCUGAUUAUUAGUAAAGGUAUUUUUACAAUGGCCUCUAUAGUUUAAAAACAUCAGAUAACUUUCAGGAAAAUACCAUGCCUCCAUUUUCCAUGUGGACUGCAUUAUAUAUUUUCCUGAAUUGAUAAAUCUCAAGAAAAAGUAUAAGUUUGUUAGGAGCUAAGGCACAAAACCAGACGCAGGGUAGGUUUAGAUAGCUAAUAGACAGACUUAAAUCAUUCGGAUUGGCUAUGAUGGUCAAGUUACUAAAUGUUAAUUACUAGACCAAUUCAUCUCUAUUUCUUUUUAUACUGCAUAGGCCUCACACUUUGCUUUUCUCUGUUGUGAGAAUUUAUGAGAUCUUUGCCAAAAUACAGCCCUGAUGUGAAAAGUGAUAACCGUGUGGGAGGCUCAGAUUCUCUACCCCAUCAUAUAAUCUGAUUACUCACCAGGGUGGCUGGUUACCCAAGUGGUGCGGCAUCGUGCUGAUUAAACCCAGGUUAUGAGUUUGAUUGGUGCAUGAGCCCUGGCCACAGAUCAGAGCUUGGCCCCAGGCGGUGGCUUCCAAUGUGUGUUGUGGGAUGCCAGCAGGGCAAGUGAGGGAAUGGGAACUGUGAAUCUAUAGCUAAAAUGGCAUCAGCAAAAUGAUCAACGUAUGCACCCUACUCAUAGUCAAAAUGUCACCUUUGGGGAGUCCUUCCCCUUAGAAGGUAGAAAAUGACAAAGGAACAUCAUUCCUACCCUAAUGGGAACAAGAAGCCAAAUAAGCUGCAAGAUCAUAACUUUGUAGAUGCCCAUUAGAAAGGUGAAGUCACAAGGCCACCAAGUCAACAGGAUUCUAAAGAGGGAUCUGCCAGGCACAGUGGCUCACACCUGUAGUCCCAGCACUUUGGGAGGCCAAAGCAGGACGAUCGUUUGAGGCCAGAAGUUCAAGAUCAUCCUGGACAUAGUGAGGCCCCUUUCUCUACAAAAAAUUUAAAAAGUAGCCAGGCGUGGAGGUGUGCACCUGUGGUCCCAGCUGCUUGGGAGGUUGAGAUGGGAGGAUUGCUUGAACCCAGGAGGUUGAGGCGGCAGGAAGCUGUGAUUGUGCCACUGCACUCCAGCCUGGGUGAUGGAGCAAGAGCUUGUCUCUAAAUAAAUAAAUAAAUAUUAUAACUGUCCAGUCUGUGGUCAUUUGUUAUAGCUGCCCAAGCUGACUAAAGUGAACCCUUUGCCACUGGAGGGGUGAAAGCAAAACCCACUGGCUUGGAGAAGGAAUGGAAAACUCUCCUGCCCCCGAGACAUGAGCUGUGCACCUUGGCGUCUCUGGGAGAAGAAGAAACUAAGUUUCCUUGCACCUGGAGGAGGGAUGAGACACCUUCUUGAAGCCAGGAUUAAUCUGUGCAAUGCAGAAGUCAGCUAUCACAGGGGGAGGGGCAGACACUCUCACCUGACCUAGCUCCAAGGCUGAAUUCUAUGCCAUGGGGCAGGAGGGAGGGACUGUGAGAAAGCCCACCCAUUCCUUAGCCCAGUGGAGGGCCUGAGACUAAGCCUGGGUGGAGAGAACAGAGAGCUCUCCUGCCCCAACCCAAUCCUCCAAGUACCAAGACCCAGCGUCAACCCCUGGGGCAAGGGCAGGAACAUGGAGAGUAACUCCCUCUGUGGCACAGGCUUCCAGGGGUUGCUGGAAGUUGGGAGUGGAGCAAGAACACUGAGAAAGCCCCUCCAACAUGCCAGACCCACUCUGCACACAGGAAACAGCAGCCCACAGAUGGGGGCAUUGAAGUCCAUGCACUGAAAGUAUCGAAGCAACAACAAACCCAAGCCCAACUCAGCUCCUAAGAGAUUGACUUAACCCCACAAGACAGCCAGACAGAGGAGGAGGUCUGUGGAUUUCCUGGCUUCCUGGCCUAACUACUAUUUACCUCUGUCUCUACUGUUCUCCUGACCCACGAAGUCCAGCAUGCAAAAUAUUAGUAGACACACCUAAAGGCAAC
rnacentral:lncRNA from 10 species